CAGCCGCCGCGGGAAUACGUAGGGUGCGAGCGUUAAUCGGAAUUACUGGGCGUAAAGCGUGCGCAGGCGGUUAUAUAAGACAGAUGUGAAAUCCCCGGGCUCAACCUGGGACCUGCAUUUGUGACUGUAUAGCUAGAGUACGGUAGAGGGGGAUGGAAUUCCGCGUGUAGCAGUGAAAUGCGUAGAGAUGUGGAGGAAUACCGAUGGCGAAGGCAGCCCCCUGGGCCAAUACUGACGCUCAUGCACGAAAGCGUGGGGAGCAAACAGGAUUAGAUACCCCAGUAGUCCCUGUCUCUUAUAC
rnacentral:rRNA from 1 species